rnacentral:ncRNA from 1 species
UAGCUGGGUUGUUGCAGCCAAGCAUUCAUACUGUACAAACAUUGCUUUUUAAUCAUUCAACGUCAGCUCUUGCUGUCAUUGUGAAGCAGAAUUCACCAAACCUAGGAUUGUUCACCCACUAACAGGGAACAUGACCAGGGCUUAGACUGUCACGAGAAGGGAU